AACUCUUAGGAAACUCAUUCCCAAAUCUGAUAAGGUACUCUUCUCUCUCUCUCUCUCUCUCUCUCUCUCUCGCUAGCCUUGUCUCUUUCUAAUUGGGAUGGACCUGAGACACUGAAACAUAGCAAAACGUAUCUACUUUUUCAUUCUCCUAGUAGAUUACAGAUCCCAUGUCAACAGAUAGAGAUUAUUAGAGUAAUCAGCAUAGAGCAAUACAAGUUUAUGAACUUUAGUGAAAGAGGACUUAUAAAAUUGCAUAGUUGUUACUCUGUGAAGAAGCAUAUACCAUCAAAGAGAAACUCUGCAGCACAUGCUUAGAUCCAUCUUCUUGUUUCCUAUGGCAGAUGGAUAAAGCAGCUUUGUUGGGAAGCGCAAUCGAUCAAGUGAAAGAUCUGAAACGAAAAGCAAUGGAAGCCAGCAAGAACAUGACAGUUC
rnacentral:lncRNA from 1 species